rnacentral:rRNA from 1 species
CGGGUGAGUAACACGUAUCCAACCUGCCGUCUACUCUUGGCCAGCCUUCUGAAGGAAGAUUAAUCCAGGAUGGCAUCAUGAGUUCACAUGUCCGCAUGAUUAAAGGUAUUUUCCGGUAGACGAUGGGGAUGCGUUCCAUUAGAUAGUAGGCGGGGUAACGGCCCACCUAGUCAACGAUGGAUAGGGGCUCUGAGAGGAAGGUCCCCCACAUUGGAACUGAGACACGGUCCAA